rnacentral:rRNA from 1 species
UACGUAGGGGGCAAGCGUUAUCCGGAAUCACUGGGCGUAAAGGGUGCGUAGGCGGCCAAUAAAGUCUGGGGUGAAAGGCUACGGCUCAACCGUAGUAAGCCUUGGAAACUUAUUGGCUUGAGUGCAGGAGAGGUAAGUGGAAUUCCUAGUGUAGCGGUGAAAUGCGUAGAUAUUAGGAGGAACACCAGUGGCGAAGGCGACUUACUGGACUGUAACUGACGCUGAGGAACGAAAGCGUGGGGAGCGAACAGG